rnacentral:rRNA from 1 species
AUCUCUGUAGAGUCUGCAUAUCAAUAAGCGGAGGAAAAGAAACUAACAAGGAUUCCCUUAGUAACGGCGAGUGAAGCGGGAAGAGCUCAAAUUUGAAAUCUUCAAGGUUUUACCUUGACGAAUUGUAGUUUAAAGAAGUGUUUUCUGUUAGUGAAGUUCGGCUAAAAGUUCUUUGGAAUAGGACAUCAUAGAGGGUGAGAAUCCCGUAUUUGACCGUUAUUUUCAGCUGUGUGACACACUUUCAAAGAGUCGGAUUGUUUGGGAAUGCAGUCCAAAAUGGGUGGUAAAUUUCAUCUAAAGCUAAAUAUUGGCGAGAGACCGAUAGCGAACAAGUACCGUGAGGGAAAGAUGAAAAGAACUUUGAAAAGAGAGUUAAACAGUACGUGAAAUUGUCAAAAGGGAAGCGUUUGACACCAGUGUUGUUUUCUCGAAAAUCAAUUAAAAAUGGCUUGAUUUUGUGUUGUAUUGACCUUAAAAGCUUUCUUCACUUUUUUCAUGUCUUUUUUAAUGCACUUUUCGUUUAACAAGUCAACAUCAGUUUCUUUUGUUGUAAAAAGGUCAUUGGAAGGUGGCUUUCUUUUCGGAGAAAGUGUUUAUAGCCUUUGACUCCUGCAAUCGGAGAGACUGAGGUCUGCAGCGUAGAUCCUUCUUGGAUUAGAUUCAUUUGUGCUAAGUUAUAGCUUUUAUAGACAACUUGUUGACUAUAGUUUAGUCUUGUAGCUUACUCGCUUAUGCAAUUUUACCUACGCUUAGGAUGUUGAACGCGCACAGAGUCUC